rnacentral:rRNA from 1 species
UACGAAGGGGGCUAGCGUUGUUCGGAUUUACUGGGCGUAAAGCGCACGUAGGCGGAUUGUUAAGUCAGGGGUGAAAUCCUAGAGCUCAACUCCAGAACUGCCUUUGAUACUGGCAAUCUAGAGUCCGGAAGAGGUGAGUGGAACUCCUAGUGUAGAGGUGGAAUUCGUAGAUAUUAGGAAGAACACCAGUGGCGAAGGCGGCUCACUGGUCCGGUACUGACGCUGAGGUGCGAAAGCGUGGGGAGCAAACAGG